rnacentral:rRNA from 1 species
UGGCUCAGAGUGAACGCUGGCGGCAGGCCUAAUACAUGCAAGUCGAACGGCAGCACAGCAGAGCUUGCUCUGUGGGUGGCGAGUGGCGGACGGGUGAGGAAUACGUGGGAAUCUGCCCAGUCGUGGGGGAUAACGUAGGGAAACUUACGCUAAUACCGCAUGCGCCCUUCGGGGGAAAGCCGGGGACCUUCGGGCCUGGCGCGAUUGGAUGAGCCCACGUCGGAUUAGCUAGUUGGCGGGUAAAGGCCCACCAAGGCGACGAUCCGUAGCUGGUCUGAGAGGAUGAUCAACCACACUGGAACUGAGACACGGUCCAGACUCCUACGGGAGGCAGCAGUAGGGAAUAUUGGACAAUGGGCGCAAGCCUGAUCCAGCCAUGCCGCGUGAGUGAAGAAGGCCCUCGGGUUGUAAAGCUCUUUUGUCCGGAAAGAAAAGCGCCGGGUUAAUACCCUGGUGUCCUGACGGUACCGGAAGAAUAAGCACCGGCUAACUUCGUG